GUUCACCUGUGAAUGCUCUUGCCAACCUUCAUGCUCAUUGUCUUGCGCAAAGCCCUUAUUCUUAAGCUUAGUUUGUGGGAGUUUUAUGUUCAGCGUACUCCAACAGAUUGUUCUCAUAGGAAAGACAUGGCGGGAAAACUGCUUUUUACGGCUCUUCUGUCCGCCGCUUGUUUGACUGUGUUAGAAUGCAACUGCUGGGGUUGUGGAAGAAGGGCCUCCAACAUCAGAAAGUUAUUUUCUACGAACGAACCAAUAUGGAUAUACAGCACCACCGGGCCCACCAAAUUAAGGUGUUUAGUGGACGUGGUGGAUAUAAUGGAAAGAAUGUCCGUAAACUUCACACGAUCGUGCUACAAUCGCGGCCACAAGUAAUAAUAACAUCCUCUAUUCAACUUUCAAGAGGAUCUGCUCUUUAUGAGCGAUGACUACAGCUGUGCAGUGGUUUUGACCACGACGAAUAUUUGUGGCAAAAAUCUCAGGUACGACCUCAGAAUUAGGAAUGCCUUCAUCACAAAGCCCCCACUGAAGAAUUGCCUGAAAUGGUUUCACAAGUACGAGAAACAUGGAGUUAUUCUCUACGACCCAAGCUGCCAGCAUAUACUUGCGCAACGUGGAGAAUCACAGCCGUAUGUGCAGGAACAAGAGCGUUGCAAAGGUGUUCAUUGAUUCUCUCCUGUAAUCCCUGCCUCGAAACUACUCACGUAUGCAGUUGUAAAAAAAGAAAGGCGCAUUUUGGAAACUUGAAAGUGCGUUUAUUUAUAUGCUUUGAGAGGCAAGAAAUAUAAAUAUUUGUGUACACGCCGACAAAAAUCGUUUUUUUCUAAUAAAGAUACUCUCUCUCUUUCU
rnacentral:misc_RNA from 1 species